UUGGAGACGGUGCUCGUGCGGGCGGUGAUGCGACACGCGUAUCCGAAAGACUCUCGGCAACGGAUAUCUCGGCUCUUGCAUCGAUGAAGAACGUAGCGAAAUGCGAUACUUGGUGUGAAUUGCAGAAUCCCGUGAACCAUCGAGUCUUUGAACGCAAGUUGCGCCCGAAGCCAUUAGGCCGAGGGCACGCCUGCCUGGGUGUCGCCCAUCGUUGCCCCAGUGCUUUGGCCUCGUGCCAGGCACCGAGCUGGGCGAAUGUUGGCUUCCCGCGAGAAACGCCUCACGGUUGGUUGAAAACUGAGUCCGUGGUGGAGGGCGUCGUGACGGAUGGUGGUUGAG
rnacentral:rRNA from 1 species